rnacentral:misc_RNA from 1 species
UCUCCGUAGGUGAACCUGCGGAGGGAUCAUUACAGAGUUCAUGCCCUCCGGGUAGAUCUCCCACCCAUUGCUAUAGCUACUCUCGUUGCUUUGGCGGGCCGCUGGGCCCUGCCCGGCCGCCGGCCCCGGCUGGCGCGUGCCCGCCAGAGACCUCACAAACUCUGAAUGUUAGUGUCGUCCGAGUAACUAUACAAUCGUUAAAACUUUCAACAACGGAUCUCUUGGUUCUG